rnacentral:rRNA from 1 species
GUGCAGCAGUCGCGAAUCUUCGGCAAUGGGGGAAACCCUGACCGAGCGACGCCGCGUGUGGGAUGAAGGCCCUUGGGUUGUAAACCACUGUCAGAGGGGAUGAAAUGCCGGAAAGUUAUCUCUCCGGUUUGACAUAGCCUCAGAGGAAGCACGGGCUAAGUUCGUGCCAGCAGCCGCGGUAAGACGAACUGUGCAAACGUUAUUCGGAAUCACUGGGCUUGAAGAGUGCGUAGGCGGUUUCGUAAGUAGGGUGUGAAAGCCCCCGGCUCAACCGGGGAAUUGCGUCCUAAACUGCGAGGCUGGAGUGAGGUAGGGGUGUGUGGAACUUCCAGUGGAGCGGUGAAAUGUGUUGAUAUUGGAAGGAACGCCGGUGGCGAAAGCGACACACUGGACCUUGUCUGACGCUGAGGCACGAAAGCCAGGGGAGCAAACGGGAUUAGAUA